GUGGUGGUACAUGUCUGUAGUUCCAGCUAUUUGGGAGGCUGACCUGGGAGGUUGAGGCUGUAGUGGGCCAUGAUUGAACCACUGCACUCUAGCCUGUGUGACAGAGGGAGACUCCAUCUCAAGAAAAUAAUAAUAAUAAUAAUAAUCAUCAUCAUCAUCAUUAUUAUUAUUAUUUUAAAAAAAUUUUCCUCUGGCUGCUUUGCUGCCAGCUUCACCCCAGUAGUCCAUUCUCUGUGAGGUUCCCCCUGACAGCUGUGAGCAUUUUGACUAAAUGCUGUCUUCAAGGUGCAUGGCAGGGACUAUCUUAGAAAUACCAUUCUCCUCUUUCAUUCUUUGACUUAAUGUUUUAUGUGAAGUUUUCCAUAUUAGGGCCGGGCAGGGUGGCUCACGCCUGUAAUCCCAGCACUUUGGGAAUCCGAGGUGGGUGGAUCACUUGAGGUCAGGAGUUCAAGACCAGCCUGGCCAACAUGGCAAAACCCCAUCUCUACUAAAAAUACAAAAAUUAGCCAGGCGUGAUGGUGGGCGCCUGUAAUCCCAGCUACUCGGGAGGCACAAGAAUUGCUUGAACCUGGGAGGUGGAGGUUGCAGUGAGCUGAGAUCGAGCCACUGCACUCCAGCCUGGACGACAGAGCAAGACUGUGUCUCAAAAAAAAAAAAAAAAAAGUUCACUGUUUUCCAUAUUAGCAAUGUUGAAUGCUACCCUAUGUCAAAUGGAUUUUUAUACGCAAAGGAUUAAGCAUAUUGUGAGCAUAUAGUCUGAUGAUUUGGGGCAAACUGAACACAAUCACGUCAGCUGCAACGAGACUGCGUCUCCCUGAAGCCCCCUCAAGACCUUAUUUAGCCCCUGCCCCCCAACUCAAGGGUAACCCCUGAUCUGGCUGCUAACAGCAUAGAUUAACUUUGCCUGUGUUCAAACUUCGUAUUAACGGAAUAAUUCAGUAUGAACUCAUUUCUGGCUCUUUUUGGCUGAACAUGUUUUUGACGUUCACCCAUGCAGGUGCAGGCAGCAGUAAUGUAUUUGUUUUUAUCAAUGUUAGUAUUCCAUUGUCCACAAUUUAUUUUUUCUGCUGUUAGUGGACAUCUGAGUAGUUUGCAGGGAGCGUGGUGGGGGUGGUGGGUGCUGGCCAGAUCCUGUCAGGCCCCACGGGCAUGGAGAGGACUUGGCUGUGACUCUGAGGAGCACACAAGCCUCCAGGGGGCUCUCAGCCAAAGAGAGACAGAAGUUGACUCAGAGCUUUUAAAAUAACUUUAUUAAGAUAUAAUUAACAUACCAUAGCUCGUCCCUCUAAGUGUAUAAUUUAAUAGUUUUAGUAUAUUCGCAGAUAUAGGCAGCCGUCCACAUAGUCAAUUUUAGAGCAUUUUCAUCACCUCCAAAAAGAAACCCCACAUCUCUCAGCUGUCACCCGCCCCCUCCUCCCCCACACUCCCAGC
rnacentral:lncRNA from 1 species